UACGUAGGAUGCUAGCGUUGUCCGGAUUUACUGGGCGUAAAGCGCGCGCAGGCGGCACUGUAAGUAAGGUGUGAAAUAUCCCUGCUCAACGGGGAGGGUGCACUUUAGACUGCAGAGCUAGAGGACGGUAGAGGGGGGUGGAAUUGCUGGUGUAGCGGUGAAAUGCGUAGAGAUCAGCAGGAACACCCGUGGCGAAGGCGGCCCCCCUGGGCCGAACCUGACGCUGAGGCGCGAAGGCUAGGGGAGCGAACGGGG
rnacentral:rRNA from 1 species